rnacentral:rRNA from 1 species
GACGAACGCUGGCGGCGUGCUUAACACAUGCAAGUCGAGCGGAAAGGCCCUUCGGGGUUCUCGAGCGGCGAACGGGUGAGUAACACGUGAGUAACCUGCCCCAGACUUUGGGAUAACCCUCGGAAACGGGGGCUAAUACCGGAUACGACACAGCUUCGCAUGGGGUCUGUGUGGAAAGUUUUUCGGUUUGGGAUGGGCUCGCGGCCUAUCAGCUUGUUGGUGGGGUGAUGGCCUACCAAGGCGACGACGGGUAGCCGGCCUGAGAGGGCGACCGGCCACACUGGGACUGAGACACGGCCCAGACUCCUACGGGAGGCAGCAGUGGGGAAUAUUGCACAAUGGGCGGAAGCCUGAUGCAGCGACGCCGCGUGAGGGAUGACGGCCUUCGGGUUGUAAACCUCUUUCAGCAGGGACGAAGCGUAAGUGACGGUACCUGCAGAAGAAGCGCCGGCCAACUACGUG